rnacentral:tRNA from 1 species
AAAAAGAUCAGCUAAUUAAGCUCAUGGGCCCAUACCCCAUAAAUAAAGGUUCUACUCCUUUUCUUUUUA